rnacentral:rRNA from 1 species
GACGAACGCUGGCGGCGUGCUUAACACAUGCAAGUCGAACGGAAAGGCCUUGCUUUUGGGGUGUGCUCGUGUGGCGAACGGGCGAGUAACUAGUGAGUAAUCUGCCUUCCAUUUUGGGAUAACCAAAGGAAACUGGCGCCUACAACGGAUAGGAGCUCCCGCUGCACGGUGGGGGGGGGAGAGUUUCGGCGGUUGGGGAUGGUCUCGCGGCAUAUCAGCUUGUGGGUGGGGUAGUGUCUUACCAAGGCUUUGACGGGGCGCCGGACUGAGAGGGUGACCGGCCACAUUGGGACUGGGAAGCGGCCCGUACUCCUACGGGAGGAAGCGGUGGGAGAUUGUCCAAACUGGGCGGAGGCCGGGAGCAGCAACGCCGCGUGGGGGAUGACGGCCUUCGGGUUGUAAACCGCUUUCGCCUGUGACGAAGCGUGAGUGACGGUAAUGGGUAAAGAAGCACCGGCUAACUACGUG